AGUGAACGCUGGCGGUAGGCCUAACACAUGCAAGUCGAACGGCAGCACAGUAAGAGCUUGCUCUUACGGGUGGCGAGUGGCGGACGGGUGAGGAAUACAUCGGAAUCUACUUUUUCGUGGGGGAUAACGUAGGGAAACUUACGCUAAUACCGCAUACGACCUACGGGUGAAAGCAGGGGAUCUUCGGACCUUGCGCGAUUGAAUGAGCCGAUGUCGGAUUAGCUAGUUGGCGGGGUAAAGGCCCACCAAGGCGACGAUCCGUAGCUGGUCUGAGAGGAUGAUCAGUCACACUGGAACUGAGACACGGUCCAGACUCCUACGGGAGGCAGCAGUGGGGAAUAUUGGACAAUGGGCGCAAGCCUGAUCCAGCCAUACCGCGUGGGUGAAGAAGGCCUUCGGGUUGUAAAGCCCCUUUGUUGGGAAAGAAAAGCAGCAGGUUAAUACCCCGCUGUUCUGACGGUACCCAAAGAAUAAGCACCGGCUAACUUCGUG
rnacentral:rRNA from 1 species